CAAAGUAGCGUGCAAAUAUAUAACACCCAACUGUUAUGCAAUUGGGGUUUAUGAAGAGGAACCUUUGGCGGCCUAAGUACUUCUGGUGGUUCGAGCUGCCGAGCAUGUGUUGAAGUUUGUAUAGCAACUUCACGAUAUUUUCGUCUUCAUGUUUGUAUAGCAAUUUCAAGAUAUUUUCAUUUUUUCGUAAUUGAUUGAGAAACUCAGGGUAUAGUAGAGCAUCUUACCAGUAGUGAAAUGCACAGAAAUGUAGCAGUAACAUGCAAAUUGUCGAAAUACGUAAGCAUAGCAUUUGUUCCAGCCUUC